GCAUAUCAAUAAGCGGAGGAAAAGAAACCAACAGGGAUUGCCCUAGUAACGGCGAGUGAAGCGGCAACAGCUCAAAUUUGAAAUCUGGCGUCUUUGGCGUCCGAGUUGUAAUUUGCAGAGGGCGCUUUGGCAUUGGCAGCGGUCCAAGUUCCUUGGAACAGGACGUCACAGAGGGUGAGAAUCCCGUACGUGGUCGCUAGCCUUUACCGUGUAAAGCCCCUUCGACGAGUCGAGUUGUUUGGGAAUGCAGCUCUAAAUGGGAGGUAAAUUUCUUCUAAAGCUAAAUACUGGCCAGAGACCGAUAGCGCACAAGUAGAGUGAUCGAAAGAUGAAAAGCACUUUGGAAAGAGAGUUAAAAAGCACGUGAAAUUGUUGAAAGGGAAGCGCUUGCAGCCAGACUUGCCUGUAGUUGCUCAUCCGGGUUUUUACCCGGUGCACUCUUCUACGGGCAGGCCAGCAUCAGUUUGGGCGGUUGGAUAAAGGUCUCUGUCACGUACCUCCUCUCGGGGAGAUCUUAUAGGGGAGACGACAUGCAACCAGCCUGGACUGAGGUCCGCGCAUCUGCUAGGAUGCUGGCGUAAUGGCUGUAAGCGGCCCGUC
rnacentral:rRNA from 1 species